GGGGUCUAUAUUUAUGCCCACUAUUGUUAAAUAGAUAAAUAGAGGCGUUGCCAAUGAUAGGAGGAUAAGAAUAUUUCCCUAGUAGGUCAGGAUGAAUCUAACUCCCUAAGAGAUGUAAUAUAUCACCUUUUAAAAUAGUACUUACCCGCUGCUAGCUCAGCUUUUACAACACCAAUAUGUAUAAAUUUAAACAGAUUUAGUCGAGUUUACCUUGUAUUAAUUCGAACCGCACGCGAAAUAAGAACACACGAUAAACACGAAAAGUGUAUUAUAAUUUUGGAAUAAAAUUACAACACGAAACUUAAGUCUAAAACAUAUAAAACUCUACGCGUAUAACCAAUAUAUAUUCCACCAAAUAGUGGCGUAAGUAGGAUCGCUUUUACCCACCUACGUGUAACUAUCAAAUUGCCCGCGUUGGGUAGCGAAUUUAGGACUUAAGUUUAAACGCGAAUACUCUCCCUUAAACACGAACGUUAAGGCAGAGGACUUGGGACUCAAGCACAACUCUUACGUAGGAGUGAGUGGCCUUAUUACUUUUCCGCGGUCAGACCUACCAGACGAAGCGCGAAUCGACAAGUGAAGAUCAAUUCCAUCUCAACUUGGCUUCUAGCCUCGAGUCGAGAAGGAAUUGAGCUUUACGAACUUGUGAGCUUUUCACAUCUGCCCUUAAUGGAACGAUGUGAAAACACCUCUUGGGUGGUUCCCACGUACUUAACACCUUACCUAAGUGCAUCGAGUAUAUGCUUUCAUCUACGUAAAGUACUGUAGAAUCGAACUAUUGAUUGGAUUCUCCAGUACUUCCUUUAGAUGAAAGAUUUAUAAUCCCACUGAGAGAGAUACGAUGAAUAUCCCUGUCUAGCCAGUGAAGGCAUAUUGUCCCCUUACAUUUGCCCCUAACGUGGGUUUACUUCUAAAGUAUCCCCUGAGGAAAUGUAGAGGAAAGCACGGAAAUUUUGAAAAAAGGUGACAUUGUGCUUCACUGGAUGUGACCCUAUUGCCCCCCGUACUUUGCUUGAGUGAUGCGGGGAAUAGUAAUCCCAAAAUAAAUUUUGAAACUCUUUGGUUUUUAUUAUAAUUCCAAAAGUGAGGUGGAUUUUGAGUGUGCUGGUGAGUUGACUCUUACUGAUAAAGAGUAACUACAAUUGACCAUCAAUAUUUGACCGAAGUCAAGAUAUCAAUAAAUCAAUCCAGAAGCUACCUUUGAUCUGGUCACUCCGCAGCAGGGUCAUGGCCGAAAUGGUAAGUAUUUAAGUACGAUUUAAUUUUUGAGGGGAAGGGUUAAUCUAAAAGGUACCCUUCCUCAAUUUUAUGAUUUCAGGAGAAGAUGAAAAAAGCUCAAGAAGUUCGUGGUUGUUUGGCUUUGUUGUCUUUGGAUAGUCUGACCAAGAAUUUUUGAAGAAAAAAUUGCUGGUGUAUUUUGGUCAACGACGAUGGCAAGAGAAUUACUUUGUUUAUCAAAAACUAAAGAUAAGUACAAAAACAUAUUUACAUUUUUAUUAAAUAAUGUAAAAUUUAAGAGCAUUUUUGUUUCUUAGGAUUAAUCAGUCUAAUUUAAACACAUGAUCGAUUUAAAAUAUCUGUACAUUUUUUAUUUCUAAAAAAAAAUUUUAAAGUUAUGAAAUAAAUUAAAUAAAAAAUGUUGUUUUUGUUUAGGACCAGUUCAGAGAAAGAUGGGUGAAACUUAAAAUAGGAUUGAGCCAAAGUUGAACCAGUCUGUUGGGAUAUUUUUCGUAUUUACAAUAAGUAAGAAGGCAAAGAAGAUUUCCUUAACUAAUAAUGCACAGAUCCUUUUUCUUGGCUCAUGGACUUCUUUUCCAGGAAGACAAAGAUAGCUAGAUUUUUGAAAGGAAUGUUAUCCGUCUACGGUCUGAGUCAACAUGGCCUUCUGUGCCCUGAAUGUGAUAUCUUUGUUACAAAAUUAAAAAAAAUUAAAAAAAGAAUUUUAAAAAAAAUAAAAUUAAAAUUUUUGUAAAUUUUUGGAAAAAAAAAAUUUUUUUGAAUUUGAAUUUUUUGAUUCUGUAAACGUAUUUUACGUUAAUAUAAGUUUGUAAAAAAUAAAAAAAGAUAAUUGUAAACAUUCAAAAAAUAAAUUGAAUUUAUUUUAAGUUUGUAAGAAAAAUUUACAUACAUGUAUUAUUGUAUCGUAGUUUUAGAGUACAAAUUUUGUAUGUUUGUAAAAAAAAAAAAUUUUUUUUUAAAAAAAAAUAUU